rnacentral:tmRNA from 1 species
GGGGCUGAUUCUGGAUUCGACGGGAUUUGCGAAACCCAAGGUGCAUGCCGAGGGGCGGUUGGCCUCGUAAAAAGCCGCAAAAAAAUAGUCGCAAACGACGAAAACUACGCUUUAGCAGCUUAAUAACCUGCUUAGAGCCCUCUCUCCCUAGACUCCGCUCUUAGGACGGGGAUCAAGAGAGGUCAAACCCAAAAGAGAUCGCGUGGAGGCCCUGCCUGGGGUUGAAGCGUUAAAACGAAUCAGGCUAGUCUGGUAGUGGCGUGUCCGUCCGCAGGUGCCAGGCGAAUGUAAAGACUGACUAAGCAUGUAGUACCGAGGAUGUAGGAAUUUCGGACGCGGGUUCAACUCCCGCCAGCUCCACCA